UAUGACGGUCCUAAGGUAGCGAAAUUCCUUGUCAGGUAAGUUCUGACCCGCACGAAAGGCGUAACGAUUUGGGCACUGUCUCAACGAGAGACUCGGUGAAAUUUUAGUACCUGUGAAGAUGCAGGUUACCCGCGACAGGACGGAAAGACCCCGUGGAGCUUUACUGUAGCCUGAUAUUGAAAUUCGGCACAGCUUGUACAGGAUAGGUAGGAGCCUUUGAAACGUGAGCGCUAGCUUACGUGGAGGCGUUGGUGGGAUACUA
rnacentral:rRNA from 1 species